rnacentral:lncRNA from 1 species
GGAACCAUCUGGAGGGAGCCCCAGACUGCAGUGCAGAGGCUCAGUGUGGGACUGAGCAUGGCUCAGUUUGCACAUGCCAGAAUCAACACUCAGCGACUGGAACGUGCUCAGAACCGCCUUGUAACAAUUCUCCAAAUGGCCUUUACCAGGCAUUAGCGUGGCCUUGUUUCCCUGAGCCAUAUGGGAGUUGUGUGGUUCUGGCUGGCAGAGGCUGCCCUUGGGUGGUCCUGCGAUGCUGGUGGUCUUGGCACGUGGAUUUCAGUCCUGGGAGAUCCAUUUGGCUGAGGACAGGUUUGGGGUUAAUCCAAGCGGAUCCUGUUACUCCUCUGAGUUCAUGAGGAUGCUGAAGUGUAAUACCACAUAAAGCAAGAGGAAAAAAAAGGAAGUUGGCCUACGGUGAAAUUGUUCUGGUGUUUUCUUCUACAACAAAAU